rnacentral:rRNA from 1 species
GGCUGUCGGUUCAGCUCGUGUUGCGAAAUGUCCGGUUAAGUCCGGCAACGAGCGAGACCCCCACCCCUAGUUGGUAUCCCGUUUCCGAACCGGAACCACACUAGGGGGACUGCCGGCGUAAGCCGGAGGAAGGAGGGGGCCACGGCAGGUCAGCAUGCCCCGAAACCCCCGGGCCGCACGCGGGUUACAAUGGCAGGGACAGCGGGAUGCUACCCCGAGAGGGGGAGCCAAUCCCUCAAACCCUGCCGCAGUUGGGAUCGAGGGCUGAAACUCGCCCUCGUGAACGAGGAAUCCCUAGAA